rnacentral:rRNA from 1 species
CACAUGUGAAUUAAUGGGCAGCUAACUUUUGUUGCUGUGCACCCGUCCGUCUGACUCACGGAAUGCUCGCGGGAGGUUGGUUCCGCAGGCGGACGGGAGAUCAAAAAUGGGCGCAGCACCGCGCCAAGAAAAAUAUGUAGCCCGAGCGAAGACGGCAUGCCCCAAAACGUAUGAUUUGRCGGCAUGCUGUUUGCGCUCCCGAAGAAUUGUAGGACUCUCGGCAAUGGAUAUCUUGGCUCUCGCAUCGAUGAAGAGCGCAGCGAAAUGCGAUACGUGGUGCGAAUUGCAGAAUCCCGUGAACCAUCGAGUUUUUGAACGCAAGUUGCGCCCGAGGCCAACUGGCCAAGGGCACGUCCGCCUGGGCGUCAAGCAUGGCAUCGCUCCGUUCGACACCCGCCGUCAAUGUAUUGCGUCGGUGUCGUCUUGGAUGCGGAGAAUGGCUCGUCGUGCGCUUUGUUGCGUGGCGGGUUAAAGAGUGGGGUGAUUUUCUCUUUGCGAUGAUCGAUAAAUGGGUGGGAUUGCGGCAGCAGGCAGGAUCCUCAUCAUCGGAUGGUUGCCUUGAGAAAGAUAAUGAAACCCCGGCCUAACCCGACUCAGUUGUUGUUGGAAGCAAAUUGAAAUGCGGCCCCAGGAUGGGCGGGGUGACCCGCUGAGUUUAAGCAUAUCAA